AUAUAUAUAUAUAUUUAUAUUUAUAUCCGAGUUUGCUAUAUUUUCUUGUCCUCCUUCAAGACUGAAGAAUUAUAUGGUAGGCACGUCUUCUUUCCUCCUAAAUCUGCUGCAAGAUAGAAGAAGAACACCCCAUGUAUAAAAUUGCGAUAAGGUGCAAGGAUGGUAAGCUCCAGGAAGAAUCAUUAGCGAAAACCCUUCAGUUAUUUUAUUAUCUCAUUUUUCUUCCACUUUUUCCUUCUUUGGCCUUAUUAAGCCCCUUGUGCAGGUGGUAUCGUCACCUAGUACUGAGAGGAAUGCGAGUAUGGUAUGUAUCACCGGCCCGGGCGUUCUCAAGUUUGUACCAGUAAAACUCGAUCAGAAUAAAUUGGAUUUUCUCCGCCUAUCUUCUCAUCUUUUAUGCCGAUUAGUUUUGUGCGUCCGUGAUGGGAUCGCUAUAAAUUGGUUUUUAGGGACAUUUCCAACUCUUGGUAAAACAGGAUGAACGAGGAGGAUUUAGAAGAAUGUGGACUAGAUUCUUGCCUUCCAUCAAAAGCUAUUAUUAGAGCAGUAGUAGCUAGCUUUGCAGCCUUGUAGUGUGAUGUCAUGUCAAGGGAAGAGACGCUUGGCUGUAAUCCUUGAUUUGUUUGUUAACUUGGUACCAGGUAACCUGGGAUUGAGAGCACCUUGAUUAGGGUGGCCAGUACGUUGUUUAGCGUUAGAGAUCCUCUCCUGAGGGCGCAAAUGCAGUCAUCUCCUUGGAAUUAGUGGAUAUGAACGAAAGAAUUAAAAUAACAACCAAAUGUCUUGUCUAUUUACCAAGGUGGGGAGUGUGGUGGAAAGCAAACCGGAUCGUAUCUAUUUUUUUAAAUUGGUGUUUCAUACUUUGUUAAAGAAAAAUGAAUGUGGAUUAUGGAUAGAUAACCAUCAUAUCUGUAUCAUUCUAUCUGUAAUUUUAUUUAGUAUUUGUAUUUUUUUUAUUAUCCGUUUUGUAUUUAUAUCAGUUCAGCAAUUGUAGAUUUUUUUUUUGGGGUGUUUUUUCAUCCCAUUAAUCUGUAUGCGUUUAGUUGGGAGAAGAUGUUGGACUCUAAACCUAUUUAUAUAACUCUGCAAGUGCUAUAUACUGAUAUUUGAUUCGGAGCUUCCAAGUGCCUCACUUUUCUCUAGGAUGGUUAUUUUGUACUAAUUUGCAGUUUGAUUCGUUACUAAUUUAGAAGCAUUUCCAUGCCAGGGUGACCCAUUCUGUAGGCCUUGUAACUAAUUUCAGCACGAAAUCUUUGGAGACGGGCUGGUAUUAGAACUGAUUAUGGGCAGGGCCUCGGCCCAAAUCUCUAUUUAUUUUAUUAUGUUUUGUUCUUAUUAGACUUUGCUUUGUCUCCAAUUCCCUAAGCCCGAUUCUCGGCCCACAGCUCCCACAAAUUGCAUUGGUGCCUGCUUUCGUCUAAUCUCUUGUGAACCGUCCCACCUAUAGAUGGUGUUAUGUAGCAUGACAUAGAUCGCAAAUCCAUGAACAAUGUGAAUUAAAAAAAAAAACUCUCCGAUUCUUGGCAUACACAGGCAGGCUGUAAGCUAAAAUGUUUGUUUAAACUUUAUAGGUAUAUCAUGAGAUUGAUGGGGAUAUUCAAGCGAAGUAUGUAUAUCAUGAGAUUAAUGGAGCUAUUGAUUGGGUGGCUUUUUUUUUGUGUGCUAACUAUUUGGAGGGUGGGUGAGAUGAAGUUGUCUAAUGCUUUUCGAGAAGGUGCUUUGUUUUUUGAUUUUUUUGGCUGUAUUUGUACAUAUUUGGCAUGAUAUUUUUAUUUUUAGAAAAAAAACUCUUAACUGCAAUUUGUAUUAUAAAUUUAUUACUUUCAAUACAAUAUUUAUAUAAAAAUAAUGUUUGAUUUAUUUAAUUUUGUUUCUAAGAGUACACAUUUAGAGUGUACAAACCUUUUAAUCUUUCGUUUGGAGAUAAAGAAUUCCUUGAAUUAUGGAGACAUGAAAAGGACAUACCAUGUGCUAAGGAGGAGUGUCCCCAAAUACUUUGCACCUCGCUAAUUAUGGAUCACAUGGGACCACCAUCGUCAUCAUCACUCCCAUGGGAAGGCCGCACUGAGAAGACCAAAAGGUUCUCCGAGGGAGGCAUCUUUUCUUUCUUUUCUUUCUUUGCUUUAUUGUUUGUGCUUCUCGUGUCUGGCAUAAAAUCCACUAUCCGACUAACGGUAUAAAAAAAAAAA